GCCCUUGGUUGACAAUACGGAAGUGGUUACGCGGAAAAUAGUUCCUCUGUUUGAUGGUGAAUAUUGGUGAAUUUUUGAGUGAAAGACCUGCAAUAAAUGGCAUGAUUUAAUAGAGGAGAUGUGAAAUAGUAGGUACAUGUACAAUUUGACAGAAUGCAAAUGUCAGAAUAUGCAUAACAUGACUUUUUGAUAGGGCCUGUUUUGCCUGUUUGCGGCCAUCUAGAGAGUAUUCUUCAUACGCAUGUGAUUUGGUUCAAAAUGGUGGAAAAAAGAGCCGGUCAACCCAAUGUUUACUGUGGCUGGAAUUAUUUCUCUUGGAUAGUUCUGUUGAGUUCAGUACCUAAAAACCUGAAAUGAGAGCGCUCGGACAAUGUGAAGUUUGUCGCAUAGACGGGGAUUGACCGCCUUUGUACAUAUAUGUCUACAGCUUCUCAGAUUUGACCGAAGACAGUUGUUCGGUGUUGUGAAUGGAUGUUGUUCGGCCGAAGGCCUUCCAGUCACACAGAAGAUCCUGUUUCGGUCACACGAAGGGUCACUUCCAUUGAUAUUAGUCACAGGAAAAAUUAGGAGCACCAGUUGUAUUUUCUCAGGUUGAUAUUUAUUUAGGUUUUUGCUGAAAUUAAGCCAGUUUGGAACAUUCAGCAGGCAGUGAUGUACAUUAAAAUCAUUCUUUAUAGAGAUAGGGGCUGUUUUGCCAGAAUGCUCAGCUGUGAUACACAGUGUAAGAUUUUGUGCAGUGUAAAUGGUCAUGGUGUGCAUGUUUCAUUUACAGAGUGCACUGAAUGCCUGUAAACUGUAAGAUUUGAGUGAAAUAUUCAUUCCAGAAAGACUCAUAAGCUUUUUAGUAAGCUCACAUAUUGGAUUUUUCAGAGCUGUUUGGCUCAUUUUACCUAGGGUAGCCAUAAAUGAAUGAUCACUGAAAAGUAUAUGACACAUAUAUGUACAAAAGUUAUUCAUUCUCAUAUCUGCCACAUACUGGGCUGCUUAAAAAGGGCAAAUUUGACAGCUACAGGAUUUUUCUUAGUUCACAUUUUACUUUUUCGUGUGAGUAGACUCCGCGUUUUGACGUGCUUUUUGUAAUAUGAAUAGUUUUCCUUAAAAUUGGAAUAGUGAUAUUGUAAUCAGACUUGAAGUGGCUCUUAAUUUGGAUAGAUGUAUAUUAAGGAAACAUGCUGUUUUUUAUUUUGGGUGAAAAUCUCAUCAAACAAAAAAGUUAUAGAAUUUUGCGUUUUUUUUCAUCUGAAAAGUACGCGAACUUUUUUUUUUGCUCAGAUUUGACCGAUACCAUGUGUAACAUUGGAAGCUGUCAAAUUUUAGUGCAUAGUUCAACAAAGGUGUAACUUUCAGAUUUAAUUUGCUAUACAUCUGAGAUUAUACUGGUAAAAUAUUUUUUAGUUUGGAGAGAAAAAUAGGUCUAAAUAGGCACAAGACCACAGUUAUUUGCCCUUGGUUGACAAUAUGGAAGUGGUUACGCGGAAAAUAGUUCCUCUGUUUGAUGGUGAAUAUUGGUGAAUUUUUGAGUGAAAGACCUGCAAUAAAUGGCAUGAUUUAAUAGAGGAGAUAUGAAAUAGUAGGUACAUGUACAAUUUGACAGAAUGCAAAUGUCAGAAUAUGCAUAACAUGACUUUUUGAUAGGGCCUGUUUUGCCUGUUUGCGGCCAUCUAGAGAGUAUUCUUCAUACGCAUGUGAUUUGGUUCAAAAUGGUGGAAAAAAGAGCCGGUCAACCCAAUGUUUACUGUGGCUGGAAUUAUUUCUCUUGGAUAGUUCUGUUGAGUUCAG